rnacentral:rRNA from 1 species
UACGUAGGGUCCGAGCGUUGUCCGGAGUUACUGGGCGUAAAGCGCGCGCAGGCGGCCCGCUAGGUGUCACGUGAAAGCCCCGGGCUCAACUCGGGAGGGUCGUGGCAAACCGGCGGGCUUGAGGCCGGUAGAGGUGGGUGGAACUCCUGGUGGAGUGGUGAAAUGCGUAGAGAUCAGGAAGAACACCCGUGGCGAAGGCGGCCCACUGGGCCGGUGCUGACGCUGAGGCGCGAAGGCGUGGGGAGCGAACGGG